rnacentral:rRNA from 1 species
ACUUUGAUCAUGGCUCAAGAUGAACGCUGGCGGCGUGCCUAACACAUGCAAGUCGAACGGAGAUAAGAUGAAACCUAGUGAUUCUUAUCUUAGUGGCGGACGGGUGAGUAACACGUGGGUAACCUGCCUUGCACUGGGGGAUAACACUUAGAAAUAGGUGCUAAAACCGCAUAAGCGCACAGUCUUGCAUGAGACAGUGUGAAAAACUCCGGUGGUGUAAGAUGGACCCGCGUCUGAUUAGCUAGUUGGUGAGGUAAUAGCCCACCAAGGCGACGUUCAGUAGCCGGCCUGAGAGGGUGACCGGCCACAUUGGGACUGAGACACGGCCCAAACUCCUACGGGAGGCAGCAGUGGGGAAUAUUGCACAAUGGGGGAAACCCUGAUGCAGCAACGCCGCGUGAGUGAAGAAGUCAUUCGUGAUGUAAAGCUCUAUCAGCAGGGAAGAAAAUGACGGUGCCUGAGUAGGAAGCCCCGGCUAACUACGUGCCAGCAGCCGCGGUAAUACGUAGGGGGCAAGCGUUAUCCGGAUUUACUGGGUGUAAAGGGAGCGUAGACGGCCAUGCAAGUCUGAAGUGAAAUGCCAGUGCUCAACACUGGAACUGCUUUGGAAACUGUAAGGCUAGAGUGCGGGAGAGGUAAGUGGAAUUCCUAGUGUAGCGGUGAAAUGCGUAGAUAUUAGGAGGAACACCAGUGGCGAAGGCGGCUUACUGGACCGUAACUGACGUUGAGGCUCGAAAGCGUGGGGAGCAAACAGGAUUAGAUACCCUGGUAGUCCACGCGGUAAACGAUGAUUACUAGGUGUUGGGGGGGUAAUAACCCUUCGGUGCCGUCGCAAACGCAAUAAGUAAUCCACCUGGGGAGUACGUUCGCAAGAAUGCAACUCAAAUG